rnacentral:rRNA from 1 species
UACGGGGGGGGCAAGGCGUUGUUCGGAAUUACGUGGGCGUAAAAGGGCGCGUAGGCCGGCCCUGCUCAAGUCGGAUGAAUGAAACGUCCCUCCGGUACAACCGGAGGAAGCUGCAGUCCGAUACUGGCGGGCUGAAUCGGGGAGAGGGGAUGUGGAAUUCCAGGUGUAGCGGUGAAAUGCGUAGAUAUCUGGAGGGAACACCGGUGGCGAAGGGCGGGCAU